rnacentral:lncRNA from 1 species
UUUAAGGUCUGACUUUUCCUGUUUCCCGUAAUGGAUUUAUGAAAUCCAUUAUCUGACUUUUCUAAUGUAAUCAGCACAAAUAUUCAAUUCUCGCAAUAAGAUGAACUUUGCUGCUUUGACAGGGAAUUUGUGGUAGGAUCUAUAUAAAAGUGAUUUCAUGAUCCUCACUUAUUCAGGGGCAGGUUUAAGGGAGAAAAGAAUCCCUUCCAGACACUUCUUGUUACCCACUGCAUUCAUAACGUGAAAAACCACUCCUUUCGGCCUGAGGUUUGAGUCUGCAGCUCUUACUCGGCCUUGUAAUGUAGUAACAGUAAUUGCUGCUAUUUUUUCAGUGCUUAUACUGUGCCAGGCACUGUGCACGGAGCACUGGAUACAGUUAAUUUUAUCACUUAGAUACUCUUGUGGACAGGUGACAGGCAAAUACACAAAGCUAGUAAGUCAGGUGAGAACCUGAGAACCUCAUAUGGGGUCCGCUUCAGUUACGAAUUUACAUUAGGCCAGAAUCCAGGCUGGGUUUAAAUAACUUAAUGCAAGGUUACUCUUACUUUAUU